GGUUAUAGCUCAGUGGUUGAGCUCUUGCCUCGAAUGCGUGAGGUACCGAGUUCAAUCCUCAGCACCA
rnacentral:tRNA from 1 species